UGCCUGCCAAGAGAAAGGGUGCGUCAGGUGCAGCAAGCGUCUGCCGUCUUCCCCGGCCGGCAGGAGUCAUCACACAGGGGCAAAUGUGCAAAGAGAGCCGAGCAGGAUGCUGCCGGAACACUCCCAAGCCAGGUCCAAAGUUUGCCUACAGCCAUGGAAGGGGGGCGCGGUGCCCCAGAGUCUAAUAGAGUCUGUGCUCUCCACCUCUCCUUCCCAGGCCCAGCCCACACCCUCCCAGGAACCUGAUUCCAGACUGUCUGGACACCUCCUGCUCAAUGGAUUGCUCUUGGUUUGCCGGUGAUAAUUUCAUGUCACCAACCAAACCCGUGUGAAACAUUCUACGAUGUCACCAUAGACGCAUGCGCUCCACAUACAACUGGCCUUGGAGAAUGUAAAAG